AACUGAAUGCGGUUAUGUGGUUGAUUUAAUUUAUCAUUUAUUGAUACGGAGAUAAAUUCUAACAAGAACUUCAUGCCAAUUAAAUGACCUGGAAUUCGAGAUGCGUAUAGGUAGAGACUUUUUUUCAAGGUUUAAAACGUUUGGACCAAAUAGUGAACAUACCAAUUUUUAAGCCAAUCCGGGAACAAAUUGUGGUACGGUUUAUUCGGAAAUUUUUUGUUUUCGAAUAUUGUGGCGCGCGCCGAGAUAGCACUGGGGCAAGAGUGACGGAGGGGCGCAGAAAGAUGCCUCAGACGCCCACGCCACCUUCUACGAGUACCGUUACGUCUCUCCUGAGCGACUCUCAAGGGGCAUCUACAAGUACAACAACGACUACGAGCAACUACGUCCACUCCUUCUCUCACGGCCACAGCCAGCUCUUCUGAGAUACCUCCUCGCACUACAGCCUGGGUUAAGGCGAAACACGUCGAAUGCCUGCGUUGCCGAGGGCUGAAAGACUUACACUACAAAUUCUGUCAGCUCUUCGGCUCCAACGGCUCUCGCAGUGGAGCAGAGCCGUGAUCAGUCCAGCUCUCAGAUCCAUGUGGAGUUGAAGGCCCGAUUCGCGAUUUAAUAACUGUAAAUUUUACCCUAUCUUCAAUUUCUACCAAUUGUGGAAAAUCAUCUUAGCUUGGAUUGAUUUCGCUGUAUUUACCCAUGUUAAUACAUUAGCGACCCGGAGAGCCACGUGAGGCUCAAGGUAUCUUAGCGACCCGAAAAGACACGUGAGGCUCAAGAUAAGACGUGGGAGGUAGGGGCAAUUUUGUCAUUUUCAAAAAAACAUUGAUUUCUCUAUCAGUAAUGACAUAAGAGAAACGAAAAACAGCUAUAUGAUACUUAUUACACGUUUAUAGUGUAACGAUCUUUUUUUAAUAUUUAAGAUUUUUCCUAGAAAAAAUGACAUUUUAAAGGGACUCAAAAUUACACUAUCCUCCCCCCUGGGAUCGAUUCCUUAGAAAUAUGGAAGAGUAGGUCACACUUGAUUUUUUUGGAUAUUUCCAAGAAAUCGAUUUGGUUUUCCGUUGUUAUAUAAGACAUCAGGUUGGAAUGACCUCAAAUACGCAAAAUGGAGUGGUUUGCAACUAUAGUUUUUUUAGAUUUUGUACCAAACCACCAAAACUCCGAUUUCAUUUGCGUCGCGCCUCGCUGAUUAUUAAUACCUAAUUUUUAUCUCAGGAUUUGCAAACUAGAAGCAUUGGUGAUUAUGUUCGCCAGACCCGUUGAUUAAGGGCAUCCAGCCUAAUACGAUAGUCCACCCGCUUGCAAGCAGCAGGGGUAAUUAAUACAAGUGCGCCUUAUUCCCUCAGAUCAGGUUUCAGGUAUUACAUUAAUAAAAGAGGAGCACCGAAUUUAUUUUUUGGACAUAUCAAAAAGUAAGUUAGAAAUUGGCACUCGAUUUUUUUAUAUUUCCAUGACGACGUCACUUAUCGUGUUGUCGAAUCUGCUGUCGUCGAUGACGAUGUCUGCAUAGAGCUGCUAGAAGGCUCGACAGACGACGCGAUUAGCAAAAAGCUUUAUCGCAUAGCCUUUCCCACAUAGGACCUUUUGUACUAGACAUUUGGUCACUAUUGGUGAUUGGUGAACAAAUCAAAAGAAGCAUAUAUUUCGAGCUAAAAUCUUUAAAAUGUUAUGCAGUAUUUUAUUGUAUGUAAGUUUAUGCUACAUUUUCUGUAACUUGUCCAAUCAAUUUCUAGUAUUUUCAAAGUUUCUAAAAACCAGUUGUACUUGCCGUCAGAUCCCUAGUUCCUAUUUUGGUGUCAUGUCACCAAAAUUAACAUGUAAAGACAAAUUGAAGAUGUAACACAACGAAAAUGACACAAAAAUGAAAAAUGGAAAAUCAUAAGUUAAUGUAUGAUGGAGGGGAGAUGAUUGAAACAGGGCUAUACCUAGUACGCCGGAAGGGAGAGGCAGUUCCACCCUUAGGAGAGCAGGAUUUUG